AAGGAAUGCACUCGGAUGUUUUAAAAAAAAUGUGUUUGGUCAUUGUCAAAGAUGAUGAAGAAGUGGAUGUGUUUUUAUCACAGUUGAGAAAGCACGCUUGAUAAGGAUGAUUUCGAAAUGAAACGGAGGAAUAUGUUAAACUUGUAUAUAUCAUCUAAUUUUUUGUUCCGCAGCAACGGCCACUUGACUAGUCAAAUCAAAAUUUAGACAACGGUGUCAUAUCUGUACGGCUGUACCCACCGUCCUCGUCUGCUCUGGUCGGUGUCGCCUCGUCAGAUCCCGUAGCAACUCUGUGUCGAUGUCGGGGACCAGGCCACAUGCCUGUCAGUCCGACGUGGACCUGACGCGGCCGAUGCGCCUCAUCCGUCCACGUUUACGCUUGAGCGAUCCUACGUGGCCUAGUUUGCUUGUUGUAUUAUACCGGGUGUCGUGGUGGUGUCUCGAAAGAUGCCAUGUGAUGGUUUAACUUGGAACCGAUGGAUGAUGGAGGAUCCGGAGGAGGGAGGAUGUGAAGAGAAACACGCACAAAUCACACAAACACACACGGAUCUACCCAGGUUCGGAGCCCUUUUGCCGAGGUAAAACUCCUACUCCUGUUUUCUUGUAUUAGCCGGGAUAGACAAACUUUUACAAUGGUGCUUCUUAAGCUGUAUUCUUGAGUAAGAAAAAGAAGAAGGGAAAAACCCUAAAUGACUAAGUGCACCUCUCCUUUCUUGAGGGGGGUAAGGUUCUAUUUAUAGGCCGACCAUA